rnacentral:rRNA from 1 species
AACGAACGCUGGCGGCAUGCCCAACACAUGCAAGUCGAACGAGACCUUCGGGUCUAGUGGCGCACGGGUGAGUAACGCGUGGGAACCUGCCCUUAGCUUCGGAAUAACUUCCCGAAAGGGGUGCUAAUACCGGAUAAUGUCUUCGGACCAAAGAUUUAUCGCCUUUGGAUGGGCCCGCGUUGGAUUAGCUAGUUGGUAGGGUAAAAGCCUACCAAGGCGACGAUCCAUAGCUGGUCUGAGAGGAUGAUCAGCCACACUGGGACUGAGACACGGCCCAGACUCCUACGGGAAGGCGGAGUGGGGAAUAUUGGACAAUUGGGGAAAGCCUGAUCCUGCAAUGGCGGGGUAGUUAAUAAGGGCUUAGGGUUGGAAAGCUCCUUUACGCGGGAUGAUAAUGACAGUACCGAGAGAAUAAACCCCGGCUAACUCCGUG